rnacentral:misc_RNA from 1 species
GAAAUGCGAUACGCAAUGCGAAUUGCAGAACCGUGAGUCAUCAGAUUUUUGAACGCAAGUGGCGAUAGCUUUGGCUAUCAUGUUCGUUUCAGUGUGCCCGGUUAAUUGCAUCGCAAAAUUUAAUGUGAUUGAAGCAAAACUCUCACUAAAUGCGAGGCAGUGUCGAUAGCCGACGUCAAGCGAAGUAGUCACUAACAGGUGAUAGUCGUUUGAGAUCGGCCAUCGGUGAACCACAGCCUGGAAUAAAUUUAUCCAAUCACGACACCUGAAAUGAGCAAGAAUACCCGCUGAACUUAA